rnacentral:tRNA from 1 species
GGCAGAUUGCCCGAGCGGCCAAUGGGAGCGGACUGUAAAUCCGUCGGUUNNAGGUUCGAAUCCUUCAUCUGCCA